AACAUGGUGGUGUAGUGGUUUGAGUGCUGGACUACAAUUCUGAAGACCAGGGUUCAAUUCCCUGCCUAGCCA